GCGCCGGUCACAGGAGAGAGGGCCUCAGUGCCCCGCCGAAGGCGCAAACUCCCAUAAUCGCUCAGGCAACAGUACUGCGACACCAAA
rnacentral:ncRNA from 1 species